rnacentral:tRNA from 1 species
GGUAACCGUGGGGGUAUAUCACAGAAACUGCUAAUUUCCGUACCCGAAACUAACCACU